CCUACGGGGAGCAGCAGUGAGGAAUAUUGGUCAAUGGACGGAAGUCUGAACCAGCCAUGCCGCGUGCAGGAAGACGGCUCUAUGAGUUGUAAACUGCUUUUGUACAAGGGUAAACCUGAAUACGUGUAUUCAGCUGAAAGUACUGUACGAAUAAGGAUCGGCUAACUCCGUGCCAGCAGCCGCGGUAAUACGGAGGAUCCAAGCGUUAUCCGGAUUUAUUGGGUUUAAAGGGUGCGUAGGCGGAUUGAUAAGUUAGAGGUGAAAUGUCCGAGCUUAACUCGGGAACUGCCUCUAAUACUGUUGGUCUAGAGAGUAGAUGCGGUAGGCGGAAUGUAUGGUGUAGCGGUGAAAUGCUUAGAGAUCAUACAGAACACCGAUUGCGAAGGCAGCUUACCAAUCUAUAUCUGACGUUGAGGCACGAAAGCGUGGGGAGCAAACAGGAUUAGAUACCCCAGUAGUC
rnacentral:rRNA from 1 species